rnacentral:rRNA from 1 species
CAGAGUUUGACCUGGCUCAGGAUGAACGCUAGCGACAGGCCUAACACAUGCAAGUCGAGGGGCAGCGGGAGUAGCAAUACCUUUGCCGGCGACCGGCGCACGGGUGAGUAACACGUAUGCAAUCCACCUGUAACAGGGGGAUAACCCGGAGAAAUCCGGACUAAUACCCCAUAAUAUGGGCGCUCCGCAUGGAGAGUUCAUUAAAGAGAGCAAUUUGGUACAGACGAGCAUGCGCUCCAUUAG